UUUUUUAAAAUAAAAAAUUUAUUUCCUCCUCCUCCCCCGACGAGUCUGGUUUACCUGUUACCAAAGUUCCUGUGGCCCCCUGUUUCCCUGCUAGUUUUGUGACAUGUGGCAAGCCACUUAACACCACUUAACUCUGUUAACUCUUUUUGCUUCUUUUUACUGUUUGUUUUUUUUGCUUUUUCUCCCUGUUCUGCCCUUUUCUGUCUUUUCUCGUUCCCUCUUCCCUCAUCUCCUUCCUUUUUUGUUCUCUUUUCCAGAUCUCCACCACCACGUUUUUUUUUUUUUUUUUUUUUUGCUUUUGCUUUGUUUUUCUUUUUCUCUCAUCUCUCUCUCAAAAAAAUGGCGGGGAAGAAAGGAACACAUUUGAGAUUCAAUGAUCAGAGUCCAAAUUCCCAAUAAAGAAAUGCUAGUUAACAAUCAAUUGGUACUGGGUAAAAAAAGCACAACUGAUAGUUCACUGUCCAUGUCAAAACACAAUUUGAAAAAGGCUCUUGCAUGUUUAUCGACAGCGAAGACAAAUCUUUGAAGACGAAUGAAGAUUUAACUACGAUCGAAGAUUUGCCUUGUUGAAGACCAGCGAAGAUUUUGGCUUCGCUGUUGAAGGCGAGAGCAGACGAAGAGGGUUUAGGAUUUAGGGUUUAGAGCUGGUGUUUCAGCUCGAGUCCAUGUGUUAUUUUGGGCUGGUAAGGGAAAAAUGACGGAGGGAGGGGGAAAGAAGAGAGAAAGGGGCAUAACAGGCAGAAAAAGCAGAAAAAAAAAAAAAAAAAAAAAAAAAGGCAAAAAGAGUAACACAAAGUUAAGUGGUUUUAAGUGGCUUGCCACAUGUCAUGAAAUUAGUAGGGAAACAGGGGGAACAGGAACUUUAGUAACAAGUAAACCGUACUCUCCCCCGACCCUUCUCUCUUCUCUCUCCCUCUCUCACUCUGUAUUUCUCUCUCCCUCAGUUUAAAUUUUGAUUACAGGGUCCUGCAUGGUUGAUCUUAUUGAGGUUAAGCUUUUUGUGAUCUUAGUAUGAUUAGAUUGAUCAAUGAAAUUUAAAUGCAGAUUAGUUCAUUAAAAAAAAACACUUCCCAUUUUCUUGUUCGUAUGAGGAACCAACGUAAAUCAAGUAAAUAUGUAAUUGCUAAUCGAAUACCACAAAGAAGUUGCAUAUGGAUUUCAAACUGGAAACAAAAUACAGAAGCUUCGCUAUAAUAAUGGAGUCUCCAAUUUCCUUCCACGAUACUAGUAGUAAUUAAUUAUUAAAUUGAAAAAUUAAAUAUCAUUACAAGAAAAGAAAAAGAAAAAUGUAAACUGCAAUACAGCUGAUGAUGAAGAAAAAAUUAAAUGCGGAAUCUGGAAAUCCGAAUGGAAGGGAAGAGUCGGGGAAGAGAAGGAGAGAGAAGAGUCGGGGAAGGAGGAGGAAAGAACAUGUGUGCCAAGUGACUCGAGCACGCAUCGCCCAUUUUGAACUCCCCUAGAGAGAAGAGAAAUAGUUACCACCGUCACGAGACCAAUCAAACUAGAAAGAAGCAUAAAAAACGGUACCCGCUUUUUAUCUUUCUUUUUUGUGGGCCCACCUUAAACACCAGUAAAAUAUAGAAACCAUAUCAAUUCCGUCACUGCAACUUCGAAGCUCAACAUGUCUCUCUCCCUCUCUCUCUGAGAAAGAAAACCCAAAAAAAAUGCUUGAUGGCAACGAAGAGCCCUCGAAGCCCAACAAGGCCGAGAGCCCACCACAGCUCAAGAAAUCCCGGACCGUCAUCACCACCGCCUCUGACGACGCGGGACCCACAAACCCAAUUUUCCCGGGCCCACUCUUUCCCGCCGUCCGACGCAUCUCCACCGCCGUUGCCUCCCGCCAGUGGCCGCCGCCCGAUCGCCGCGCCUCCAAUGCGCCCGCGGACCACCGAGACUUCUCCGACCGCGACUGGGUCUUCCCUUCCUUCGUCGUCCCACAGAACACUUCCAAACGCGGCAAGAAGCUCGCCUCCUCUGAUUCACGUACGACUGCGGCGCAUGGUAAGCUUGUCGACGCGUCACACCGGAUUGCGUCCCAGUCUCCGCCUGCUGCGUCGGUGCCGAAGCCGGAGGCUGAGAGGAAGAAAUUGAAGGUGGUGCCAAGUGGAGCUCCGGCCUCUUCUUCGAGUGAGUUGACUCGGCUGAGUUCGAGGUGGCCUGGGGAACUUAAACGUCAUUUGUUACUAGUUGUGCUUACUUUCACUUGUAUAUUAUCUAUAACUUAUGUAUUUUAUCUGCGGCAGAGAGUUGCACAACUUGAGGAAUGGUGUACCGAAAAAGAUAUCGAUUCAAAUAGCAGCUUUAGUCUUUUUCUGGCUGAGAAGAAUCCCUUUUUUUUCCAUUUUGCUAAUGCUGAAAGAAGAACUGUUGCUUUGUAUGCUGUGGUCAUUAUACUUACUAUGCCAUUUGUAUUGUACAAACAUCUUGAUUAUCUUUCCCAAAUAAGGAAUCUCUCAAAAAGGAUGAAGAGUAACAAAGAGGAGGUUCCCAUAAAGAAGAGGAUUGCAUAUAUGGUGGAUGUGUGUUUCUCUGUCUAUCCAUAUGCGAAACUGCUUGCGCUUCUGUUUGCAACAAUAUUUCUUAUAGGGUUUGGUGGAUUGGCAUUGUAUGCAGUCAAUAAAAAUAGCUUUGCUGAAGCUCUUUGGCUCUCAUGGACUUUUGUUGCUGAUUCUGGAAACCAUGCUGACACAGAAGGCCUUGGGCCAAGGAUAGUUUCUGUCUCUAUAAGUUCAGGAGGCAUGCUAAUAUUUGCAAUGAUGCUUGGGCUUGUUUCUGAUGCUAUAUCAGAGAAGGUUGAUUCACUGCGGAAAGGGAAGAGUGAAGUCAUUGAAAUGAACCACAUCCUAAUUCUUGGAUGGAGUGACAAACUGGGUUCACUUCUAAAGCAGCUAGCAAUAGCAAACAAGAGUGUUGGUGGUGGUGUUGUUGUUAUACUUGCUGAAAGAGACAAGGAGGAAAUGGAGCUGGAUAUAGCAAAGCUUGAAUUUGACUUCAUGGGGACCUCUGUUAUAUGCAGAAGCGGCAGCCCUCUUAUACUGGCUGACCUGAAGAAGGUCUCAGUUUCAAAGGCACGUGCUAUCAUUGUAUUGGCAUCUGAUGAAAAUGCAGAUCAGAGUGAUGCGCGUGCUUUGAGGGUUGUGCUCAGCCUAACUGGGGUGAAAGAGGGUUUGAGGGGUCAUAUUGUUGUAGAGAUGAGUGACCUUGACAAUGAGCCUCUGGUGAAGCUUGUUGGAGGAGAACUCAUAGAAACAGUUGUAGCACAUGAUGUGAUUGGAAGGUUGAUGAUACAGUGUGCUCUGCAGCCUGGUCUUGCACAGAUAUGGGAGGACAUAUUGGGGUUUGAGAAUGCUGAGUUUUACAUCAAAAGGUGGCCUCAAUUGGAUGGUCUUCGUUUUGAAAAUGUGCUUAUUUCAUUUCCUGAUGCUAUUCCCUGUGGAAUUAAGGUUGCUGCAGAUGGUGGGAAGAUAAUUUUAAAUCCAGAUGAUAAUUAUGUUCUGAAAGAAGGGGAUGAGGUUCUUGUUAUAGCAGAAGAUGAUGAUACUUAUUCUCCAUGCUCCUUUCCCAAGGUAUGUGCAGGCUCUUGUCCAAAGACAGUUGAACCUCCCAAAUACCCUGAGAAGAUAUUGUUUUGUGGCUGGCGUCGUGACAUAGAUGAUAUGAUUAUGGUUCUAGAGGCAUUCUUGCCUCCAGGUUCAGAACUUUGGUUGUUCAAUGAAGUUCCUGUAAUAGAAAGAGAUAGGAAACUUACAGAUGGUGGACUGGAUGUUUCUAGAUUGGAGAACAUAAAGCUUGUCCACAAAGAAGGAAAUGCUGUGAUCAAACGGCAUUUAGAGAGUCUUCCUCUGGAGACUUUUGAUUCUAUGAAUCACUAGAGGACUCUGUUGUUCAUUCUGACUCAAGAUCCCUUGCCACUCUUCUCCUUAUACGAGAUAUACAGUCAAAGCGUCUCCCUGACAAAGAUACAAAGACAACUUCUUUACGGUUGUCUGCAUUUUCACACAGCUCUUGGAUCCGUGAAAUGCAGCAAGCUUCAGACAAAUCAA